rnacentral:misc_RNA from 1 species
UCGUCAGCAGUCAGUCGUCUACGUAAACGCGUCGCGACGCCCCACGCCGCCGCCCCCCCCUCCCCUCGCGUUCAAAGGCUGCCAUGGCAGUCGCAGCAGUGCCGCCCCACAUGUAAUGUAUUCGUUGCAACACGGUGUGAACCUUUCCAGACGGGCUUGUAGGCACCUGCACCCCCUCCUCGUUUAUUGCGCGUUAGUGCUGGUGGUGGCGGUGGGGACCCACGUGGUACCGCCCGAUCAUGCCUCGGACUCCUCGCAGGUGCUCAAACCGCCCCCGGACACCAGGGGCGCCUACGAGCGCGCCUACGACAUCAACAGUUUGGCCAGGGGUAACUUGAUCCCUACACCACCACUACCACCACCACCACGGCCUACUGUUAAUCGGGUGAAUGAGGUGCCUACGGUGGAACCGACGCGGUUCCCGGAGGUGCUCGGAGGUGCCGGUGAGGUGCAGAAGGAGGAGAAGAAGGUGGAGAGGUACCCGGUGAUCUCGGUGUCGUUUCAUCGCGUAGAGACGCCGUUCAUCAUCGGGUUGUGGAUCUUCUGUGCCAGUUUGGCGAAGAUCGGGUUCCACAUGGCUCCGAAGCUGAGCGCGAUGUUUCCCGAGUCCUGUCUCCUGAUCUUCGUGGGCGUGGCCAUAGGCGUGGUCCUGGUGCACAUCACUGACUCUGUGCACAUGUCUCCACUAACCCCGGACACCUUUUUCCUCUAUAUGUUGCCUCCGAUCAUCCUGGACGCUGGAUACUUCAUGCCCAACCGAUUGUUCUUCGACCAUCUUGGUACCAUCCUACUCUUCGCUGUUAUCGGGACUAUUUCCAACACGUUACUCAUAGGCGCCUCCCUGUGGGCUGUAGGCCUGACCGGGCUGUUCUCCUGCGACACGCCCCUCCUCGACAUGUUCCUGUUCGGCUCCCUGAUAUCAGCCGUAGACCCGGUCGCCGUCCUCGCCGUAUUCGAGGAGAUCCAGGUGAACGAGAUCCUGUACAUCGUCGUCUUCGGGGAAUCCCUGCUGAACGACGCGGUCACGGUCGUCCUGUAUCACCUGUUCGAGUCGUACACCGAGAUGGGCCUGCGCAACAUCGUGCCGUACGACCUCGUGUCCGGCUUCCUGAACUUCCUGGUGGUCGCCAUCGGCGGCACCGUCAUCGGGGUGAUCUGGGGCUUCGCCACCGCCCUCGUGACCCGUUUCACCAACGAAGUGCGCGUGAUCGAACCGAUCUUCAUCUUCGUCAUGGCCUACUUGGCUUAUUUGAACGCCGAGGUGUUUCACAUGUCCGGCAUUUUGGCGAUCACCUUCUGCGGCAUCACGAUGAAGAACUACGUGGAGUCGAACAUCUCGCACAAGUCGCACACGACGAUAAAAUACGCGAUGAAGAUGCUGAGCAGCUCCUCGGAAACGAUCAUCUUCAUGUUCCUGGGCGUGGCGACGGUCAACAAGAACCACGACUGGAACACCUGGUUCGUCCUGUUGACCAUCCUGUUCUGCUCCCUGUACAGGGUCAUCGGUGUGAUAGUCUUGACGGCCAUCGCGAACCGGUUCCGCCUCCAUCAGCUGAGCAAAGUGGAGAAGUUCGUGAUGUCUUACGGGGGUUUGAGGGGCGCGGUCGCUUUCGCCCUCGUGCUCCUCAUCGACCCGAAAAUUGUCCCGCUACAGCCGAUGUUCAUGACCACCACCAUCGCCGUCGUCUACUUCACCGUGUUCUUUCAAGGAAUCACCAUUAAGCCCCUGGUGAAGAUCCUGAACGUCAAAACAGCGGAGAAGCGCAAGCCCACCAUGAACGAGAGGAUACACGAGAGAUUGAUGGACCACGCUAUGGCCGCCAUAGAGGACAUCGUGGGCCAACACGGCAACUACCACAUCCGCGACAGGUUUAAACGGUUCGACAACAAAUUCAUCAGGCCGUACCUGCUGCGCAACCACCAGGGCGCAGAGCCGAAGAUCCUCGAAACGUACUCGAAGUUGGCGAUGCGCGACGCGAUGGAGUACAUGCGCCGUAACGCGUCGACGAUAGGCAACAUCUCGAACACGGAGAGCAUGUCCGCCAUCUUUCGGAACUACACGCCGACGGGUAACCUUAACGGAAGGUGCGCCCAAAAAUUGUUAAACUGCUCGAGCCUGAGCCAAAUCGACUCGAGCACUUGGAACAUCGACAUGCAGGAGCUGGAUUAUAACCCCUCGAAGAAAGACUUGACGGAUGCCAAGAUCCAUCAUUUGUUGGCGGAGGAGCUGGUCAAGCCUUACAGAAGAGUCAGUCACAGGAGGUUAAGCUACAGCAGACACGCGGUGAACGACCGUGACCUCUCGACCCAAGUCAAUUAUCGGAUGCACGUGAACAUGCGCAGACUGGUGGCGGACAAGAAGCACCACCACAGCCACAAGAGGCACAGCAAGAAGCUGAAUAAGAAUCAGAAAAAUUCCCUUCAGAUCCCCGGGAGGACCUCGCGCAGGCGCAGCUCCAGCGGGAUUUACAAGAGCGGCAAGGAGAACCACGUGAGUUUCCCGGAGUUCCAGCAGAACGGCACUGCCAAGCAAUUUUCACACGACUACAUAAGCGAGGUGCUGAACGAGGACGCAGACAUAACCGAGCCGAGAUCCAACAGGGAGGAGUGGGACAGCCCUAUCACCUUCACAGCGAAAUCAUCACCGAGCACAGGGGCGGAGGAGGAGGAGGAGGAGGUGCAGGAGAAUUCGCCCCUCCCGAAAACGAAACCCUCGGCCCUGGAGUGCACGCUGCCCUGGCGCAGGGAGCGAAACGUUACCGAUGACAGUAUCUUCUCUGAUACUGGAAAACGCUUGUCCAGAGGCUCCAUUGACGGAGGCGACUUGAUGAGGGUGUCAACCCCCACCGCUACGGAAAUGAUGUUGCCAUGGAAAAGGGAGGAGGAGGAGGGGUGCGGGCCGCUUCCACAAGCGGAGUUUCCUAGUUGGGCCUCCAAUAAGGAGUACUUGGCCUACAAUUCACCCUCUGCCACGUUUUUAGGUGGCCUGGAAAACCCCAACAAAAACUCGAUCUUCGGCCUGUUUAGGCGUGAGUCACUGGGCUCCGACCCGACCAACAGUAACGAGUCGACGCCCCUCCGUGAGCGAAGGGGCUCGGUGAGUCGCACCUCCACGAUCCUCGUGGAGGAGGGCGAGUGCGACCCUUUGGGGGUGAUCCAGAGGGAGACGGUAGCCCCGCCGCCAGUGCUGCCCCCACCGCCUCAAACCCCCGGCCAGAGGAGGCACCAUCAGCCUCGCAGGGGGUCCAUGCUCGAGCUAAGCGGCUCACUUCAACGCGACUCCAUCCCAGAGGAGCGGAACCCGCCCCACCAGACCUCCUCACUUAAACGCCCCACGUGGCUCCUGCAACAGCAACAGCCCCCGGGGGGCAGGAGGGCGAGUUUCUCGCGCCAGAACACCUUAGGGGCCGCCCUGAUGGACACCGUCUCCUCACCCUCCUCCGGCACCUCCACCUCCUCAGACGAAGACGAGGAGCUGCUGAUGAAGGGGGCGCCCUUCUGAUCGAAGGGGCCCCCCUUGAGAGGGCGGGGGCCCAUCUCGAAGAGUCUCAGCCCGAUUUUCGGGGGGUUCCAGUCGAAGUAUCAGGCGCUGGGCAAGAAGUUCGGUCGCGAUCUGGUUUAGGGGGUCAACCGGCGCCGGUUUUACGUUCGUUUGAAUCGGUUUUAGGGCUCUAUAGGCAACCCUCUCUGGUAACCUAGUAGGGGCCCACUCGAUUACGCAUGCGUAACGAACGGCUAGCGUUGUCAUAUCAGGAAGCGUAGCAACGCGGGGCAAGACGUUUGGUCGUUUGUAGGUUCUUUAAUUUUACUUUUUAGUAAGGUCUCUGUAUUACCGACCGGAAAUUAUCAUCUGAUUGGACAACCACUAGAGAGAUAUCACACUUGUGCGUUGCGCAUGCGUUUGAAUUUACAGAUUCGGACUUGACAGCUGUUACGUCAAACGUCUGUCACCCUUGAUAAGUUUGUUAAAUUUUUUAAUGACAUUCUGAUGAAUAUCUAGUGUAUAUUAGUGCGCACGUACUGAGAUUGCGCACACAAAAAAUGUUGAAAGAAAUCUGGUAUUUAUUAAGCAACAGUGUCGGUAAUUGACAGCUUUGAUAAGUACGUCUUACGUCAGUUAUGUCAAACACAAGAAUUAAGUUAAAUAAAUUAUGUGUCGUUGGUGUAUGUCAAAAUUUGACAGAACUUUCAAGAGCAGUUGACGUUGCGCAUGCGUUCCAAUUUAUAGAUCCGGACAUGACAUCGGUGACGUCAAACGAUCUGUCAUUUUUGAGAAGCUCUUAAAUUUCUUGCCUGACAUGACAGGUGACAUUUGACAGACAGUUCAAUCAAUCUUCUCGUUCUGAGACUACGUACACAAGCAGUUUGGAAAAUAUUUGGUUUUUGUUAAGCAAUAGUUAAACAGUUGUGUGCUCUUAGUAUAAUAUGUCAAAACUUGUCAGCUUUGACAGGCGUGUUAAGGGUCAAUUGACGUCCUGGAACCCAUUUAACGUAUCUUUUAAACACAAGAAUUAAAUCAAAGAGAUUGUGUUUCAUUGGUUUACGUCAAAAUUUGACAGAUUUUACAGAAAUCUCAAGAAAAAAUUAGGUUGCGCAUGCGUUUCCAUUUAUAGAUCCGGAUUUGAUAGCGGUUACGUCAAAUGAUCUGUCACUUUCGAAAAACUUGUUAAAUUUCUUGCGUGUUCGUUAAAUGUCAUACGAUCGGUGACACUUGACAGUUCAACAAUUUUUUUCGUUCUGAGUUUGCGCGCAUAAGCAAUUUUUAUUAGGCGACAAUUUCAAAAAUUGACAGCUUUGACAAGUACGAUAGACGUCAAUUGACGUCCUGCAGUCCUUGCCAUACGUCAAAAAUUGUCUGACUUGCCAGAUCUGUCAGGCGCAAUGCCAAUUUCUAAACAAAACCAUUGAAUACGUCAUAUCAUCGGUGAGAUUUGACAUGUCAAGCACGCACAUGGGCCAUUCGCAUAAAAUAUAUAUUUUCUUCAAAUAUAUUGUCGGCAAAUAUCACAGCAAGGUUCAAAAUGUCAUUUGAUCUGUCACGUUUCACUUAUACAUCUGUCAAACACAAACGCGGCUAGCGGCACCGGGUAUCCUUUACUCCGUAGCUUGCGCAUGCGUAACCCUUCUCACUAAAUUGCGUUAUUCUAAUUUUUUUAAAUAAUCACUUCUGACUGAUAUUGAUUAACAAAUAAAACAACGUUGCCAAGGCUGAAAAUGUCAUUUGACGUACACAUCGGUCAAACAAAAGCGCGUCUUGGUCCAGCGUAUGUGCUCCGCGGCUUGCCAAUGCGCAGUCGAAAUAUUCUAUGGUAAUCUAAAGUUUUUUUACAUGUACAGUGACAGUUGACAGCUGUCAAACGAACACGGGUCUAUCCAGGCAUACUUUACUUCGUAGGUGCAUAUGCGCAAACUCGCCUACUAAUUCUUAAUAAUAUUUCAAUAAAUAUUUACUUCUGAUUGAUGUUGAUUACCAAAUACUGUAACCUUUCCAAGGUUCAAAUUGUCACAUGAUCUGUGACAUUUGACGUACACAUCUGUCAAACAAAAACGCGUCUAGGUGUAUCAAAUGCGUUUGUACUCCGCGGCUUGAGCAUGCGCAAUCAAAAAAUGGAGUGAUAAGCUAAAGUUUUUUUACAUGUACGGUGACAGUUGACAGCUGUCACACCAAAACGCGUCCAUCCGGGUAUACUUUAUUCCGCAGCUCGCGUAUGCGUAAACUCGCCUACUAAAAUGCAUUAUUCUCGCGUUAACGCGUUAUUCCAAUAAAUUUUGUUUAAAUAAUCACUUCUGACUGAUAAUCAUUAACAAAUACUACAACGUUGCCAAGGUUCAGAAUGUCAUUUCAUCUAUGACAUUUGACGUACACAUCUGUCAAGCAAAGACGCGUCUCGGUGCGCUUCUACUCCCUGGCUUGCGCAUGCGUAAUCGGAAAAUCGUUCGUAAAAUGCGCCGUAAGGAUUAAUCGAGGAGCAAUUAGUUGUAGUUAAAAUGGUUAUUUCGAUACACUCCAUGCCUUAUUUGGAUAAAAUAGGAAUAAAUUGUUUUUUAUUUUGGGUUGUUAGCAUUAUUUCUGUACGUAAAAUUGUUAAAACUCGUUAGCACUCGUUUUCACUAGAACAAUGUAGUUAGUCAUAAUAUAGUAAGUGAGCCUCCUCACUGUGUAAAUAAUUCUCUUAUAAGAUCGUGCCUCAAUACUAGUGUUAAUAGUUGUUACUUUGCCAGUUAUCAAUUGUUUUUAGUGCAACUUAGUCCUAACUAUAAUCUUGGCGAAGGUUCUGGCGGUUGCGCAGUGGGACUCGUGAAAGAGGUACAUUUUUAAUUUGACUUUUUCGUUAAUUAACUGAGAUGAGCGUUUGGUUAAUUAAUUAAUUUAAUUGACUUUGUUGUACAUAAUUAAUUAAUGAUUGAAACUGUUUGUUUUUUGUAGAAAGAUAUUUUUACAUCGCGACAAUACGAGCGAGUUGUGUGAAGAGUGACGUUUGCCAUAUUGUUAAUUAAUAAAUUCUUAAUAAAUUAAUGGUAAAUUUAA